GACGAACGCUGGCGGCGUGCCUAAUACAUGCAAGUCGAGCGGACCGAAUGAGAGCUUGCUCUUGUUCGGUUAGCGGGGGACGGGUGAGUAACACGUGGGCAACCUACCCGUAAGACCGGGAUAACUCCGGGAAACCGGAGCUAAUACCGGAUAACACCGAAGACCGCAUGGUCUUCGGUUGAAAGGCGGCUUUGGCUGUCACUUACGGAUGGGCUCGGGGCGCAUUAGCUAGUUGGUGAGGUAACGGCUCACCAAGACGACGAGGCGGAGCCCGCCUGAGAGGGUGCACGGCCACACUGGGACUGAGACACGGCCCAGACUCCUACGGGAGGCAGCAGUAGGGAAUCUUCCGCAAUGGACGAAAGUCUGACGGAGCGACGCCGCGUGAGCGAAGAAGGUCUUCGGAUCGUAAAGCUCUGUUGUUAGGGAAGAAGAAGUACCGUUCGAAUAGGGCGGUACGGUGACGGUACCUAACGAGAAAGCCCCGGCUAACUACGUGCCAGCCGCCGCAGUAAGAC
rnacentral:rRNA from 1 species